GGGCGUGUGGUCUAGGGGUAUGGCGUCCGCUUCGCAUCAAUGCUACGGCUGCAUCUUUGCGGAAGGUCCGGGGUUCAAUUCCCCGCUCGUCCA